UAAUAAAUGCUUGGUUGACUUGUGUCUGUGGACUAGACGGCAGCUCAUGAAUUAUGGAUUGUUAUUCUUGGCUAAGCAUUCAAACGGGACGCGAUGAUGGCAAAGUGGCACUAACAGCACAUUUCUGUUUACAUUUUUUCUCUCUCUCUCUUUCUCAGUGUUUGAUCUGCGGAACUCGUCACUCUUUCUCUUGAGGAGGAUUCAUUAGCCGCAUAUGCGCAUGGCGUUAGUCAACGGACUCCUACAUCAGCUCUUUGACAGCCGGGAAUUGCUGAAAUAUGACGGAAAAGGAGUCAAGGAUGAUGUAAGAGAUGAUCGGACCAGCUGCAGUGUUGACGAGAGGAACAGGAUGAUUUGCUUGAAACUGCUUCUUGGCGCCUGGCUCAGAAUGAACAUUCAUCACUGGUGGGCAGGACACAGUGAGAAACCGUAAACGGCCAAAGUUCACGCUGAAAGGAAUGCUGAUCUCCUCAAGAGGAGCCCGAGAAAUCCAGCAUCAGCACAGAGGAGCCGGAGGAGCUCAUCGCCUCUCUGCUCUGCUCCAGCCCAAGAGGCCCAUAAACAAUAGCUUCUCCUCACUGGAAGUCUUCACAGCGGCCCGGGCCGGAUCCCAGCAACUACAUUACUAUUCCGGUUGCCACAGGGUGUUGAGCCACGGCGAACUGCGACCCCUGGCCUUAUUUUCAAAGCUGAUCUCUGAACCCUGUUGUGGCUCAGCGAUUCACUCUGAAUCUAGACGUGCAGAGAGGGGAGCAGGUGAAUCGCUCUUUCUCUGCUGUUGUUUUUGAUGUGGAACAUGGUCUGAGGCGAUUUCUCAGUGUGUUCAGAGAGCAAAAGCAGGGAAGUCAAGAAAUUUGGCUUGAGACGUCAAGAAGUGCACAGCUAGCAAUUCAAAUGUCUGGGAAAGUUUUGUGUGUUUUGAUGUCUAAAUGCCUUAUUCAAAUGCUUUGUGAGGAGCACACUUUGCUUCGUCUUGUAUCGAUUAUGGUUUUAGGUGAUAAGGUCCAGCAUCUGAAAAAUAACCAGAAUUAGGUUAAAAUAUGUUUCGAACAUCAACAUGUCUUCUUUAAUCGGAAAGUAUCCUCCAGUUAUCGUUGAAAUAAAUGCAGCUAAAUUUUGUUCAUUUUACUACCUCAAAUCAUUCCUCCUUCUCUCUGUCUCUCUCUGUCUGUGUGUGUGUGUGUGUGUGUGUGUGUGUGUGUGUGUGUGUGUGUGUGUGUGUGUGUGUGUGUGUGUGUAAAUCAAUUUGGGCUCUAGGCUGAUCUGCCUUACAGGCACCUUUUUCUUUGAUUCGGUUCCCACCACAGCCUAGCGGAGGACUACAGCCAGCCUUAAGUUCUUUGAGGGAUUUGUACUCCCGCUAGUCUGAGCUCACCAACACCCGCAUUGACUAUAUCUGCUGCCCUCCAUGGGCUCAGAGAAUUAGCAAACUCGGGGGCUCCAUUCUGUGGGAAUAACGGCGGAGGAAAACAGGCUUUCACUGCAGACCAUACCUGCAGGGCAAAUGUCCUUCAAAGGCCGUGAUCAGAACUGUUUAUAAUGCUUAUACUGUUUAUAAUGAAUUCAUGCAAAAUACAAAGAACAUUUGUGAGUGUUUUCUGCUUUCAGUCCAGCAUCCACUAGACAAACUUUUGAACUUGAAUCUAUAGGUUAAUGUAAGCUUAAAUUGAUGUCAGCAGGGACUUGGUUGUGUUCUUGAUAAAAAAAAAAAAACAAUUAAAUAUUCUACUGUACAUCUGUGUUGAGUGUAUUUUCAAUAGCUGUGCAAUUUAAAGAUUUUUGCAUCACAGUGGCACCUGAUGGAAGUGCAAACAAUGCCUGCUAUGUUUGGAAUAGCUCUUACUGUUGCUGCACUACACAGGCUACUGUAGUAUGUUAUACUGAGGUUGUGAAUUUUCUGCGGGAUACUGUAUUCACUGUAUUACACAAUGCAAUGCUCUCAAUCAUCCCAUUCCAGUGAGAUGGAUUGAUUUUUCAUCUCUUUGUUUAUUUGAUUGAUUUGAACAAUUUUUAACAUGACCAUAUUUAUUUCCCAGCUGAUUACUGGUCAUUCCACUUGCUGAAUUAAAAAUGGAAAGUGAUGA